rnacentral:lncRNA from 1 species
GUUGCCGGGGUCACAGAGCUUGAGCCUGAUUCUGUUGCUGGGGUGACAGAGCUAGAGCCUGAUCCAGUUGCCGGGGUGACAGAGCUAGAGCCUGAUUCUGUUGCCGGGGUGACAGAGCUUGAGCCUGAUCCAGUUGUCGGGGUGACAGAGCUUGAGCCUGAUACGGUUGCCGGGGAGACAGAGCUAGACAGUGAUCCGGUUGCCAGGCUGACAGAGCUGGAGGUUGAUUCUGUUGCCGCGGUGACGGAGCUGGAACCUGAUUCUGUUGCCGGGGUGACGGAGCUAGACAGUGAUCUGGUUGCCGGGGUGACAGAGCUGGAUCCUGAUUCUGUUGCUGGAGUGACGAAGCUGGAGGUUGUUUCUGUCGCCGCGGUGACGGAGCUGGAACCUGAUUCUGUUGCCGGGGUGACGGAGCUAGACAGUGAUCUGGUUGCCGGGGUGUCAGAGCUAGAGCCUGAUUCUGUUGCUAGGGUGACAGAGCUGGAGCCUGAUUCUGUUGCUGGAGUGACGAAUCUGAAGCCUGAUCCGGUUGCCGGGGUGACAGAGCUGAAGCCUGAUCCAGUUGCCGGGGUGACAGAGCUGGAGCCUGAUCCGGUUGCUGGGGUGACGAACCUGGAGCCUGAUUCUGUUGCCGGGGUGACAGGGCUAGACAGUGAUCCGGUUGCCGGGGAGUCUGUUUCCAGGGACGAAGGACAAAUCCCGGCGCCUCUCUGCACAGACGGCGCUGGACGCUGGCCUUCGCGCCCCUCCGCUGGCCGGGGGGUCUCCUCCGCGCGGUCGGGGGGGGCCCUCACGCCUGGCUGCCGGCUCGCCUCGUAAGCCAGGGCAACGGCUGCGAAGCUCUCCGGCGUUAUGUCUCCCAGCAGCGAGCGGGACCUCUGGAUUCCGGCCCCCGGGAUCUGCGGGUCCCACCGCGAGGCCCAGGCGGGGCCGGGGCUGGCGCUGUCCACCUCGGCGCCGAUCUCCGUGAGGAACAGCUCGGUGGGGGGCUCGGCCCAGGCGGCCCGGCUGCUCGACACCUCCGUGAGGAACAGGUGCAGCGGCGACGGCGCUUCCUGCCCGGGCAGGGCCCGCGGCAGCCCCGGGGCAGCUGGGAGGGGGGGCAGCGGCGGGGGGGCUGACAGGGGGGGAUCAGUCUCUCACCUUUCCAAACCAGCCAUUUCCAAUCUCCUGCAGGUAGUUGAGAGUGUGUCUUCUGAAACAGUCUGGAGCACAGAGCCAGAGAGCAGUGUUAACACACACUACACACAGUACACACAGUACACACACAGUACAGUACAGUACAGAGAGUGUGAGUGUGUCUUCUGAAACAGUCUGGAGCACAGAGCCAGAGAGCAGUGUUAACACACACUACACACAGUACACACAGUACACUACACACAGUACACUACAAACACACACAGUACAGGUAGUUGAGAGUGUGUCUUCUGAAACAGUCUGGAGCACAGAGCCAGAGAGCAGUGUUAACACACACUACACACAGUACACUACAAACAC